GCUGUCAUUAAUAAGAGCACUGCUACAUGUGGCAAGGCCUGUCACACGUAAGCUAGGAUACUUUCCUGGAACGGAUCUCUACCGCGACAUUGACCAAUAUCCAGAGUCCACGAACAUAUCUGGCAUUCUGAUCAUACAGCUCGGCUCUCCCAUGUAUUUCGCCAAUGCCGGUUAUCUUAGAGAGAGGAUUUUAAGGUGGGUGGAAGGUGAAGAAAAUAGAAUUAAGGAGACGAGUAGCCCGGAUUUACAGUAUGUUAUAUUCGAUAUGAGCGGGGUGUCUGCCAUUGACAACAGUGGCAUUGGAAUGAUGUUGGAUACUCACAAAAUGCUUCUGAAGAAGGGGAUCAAGGU